ACAAAGCUGGCCUUUUGCCAAAGCAGUGAGUCAGCGACCUAAGCCUGCACAAGCGUCCCACAAUAAUGACCUUUCCCCUACACAUCUGUUCAUAACAGGUUCCUUCAUAAUGUUUCAAACUGCCAAGGUCCCAGGCUUGCUCCUUUUGAGGAGCUGAUAAAACAUUCUUGUUUGCAAGCAAUGUUUUCCCUGGAGCCUUGUGAGUUCACCAGGCAGAACAUUCUGUUUGCAGAAAAGUCCAGCCAGUCUUGUGGAUGCCUCGCGUGCAAGAACAACCACAUUUCAUGCCAGGUCUCCUUCAGUGAGGCUCGGAAUAGAAGCCACUGUCAGCCUCUGGCUAAGAACACUUGUUUCCCAGGGAGUGGAGAGGAACCGUUGACUGGGCAGGGAGAUGAGACCUGAAAUGGGACCAAAACAAAGGGGUGGGAGAGCAUGGCCUGAAGACUUACUCCCCUUGGAGAGAGUAGCCCUGGGGCUGGCUGCUGUCCUCCCUCCUGGGGUCUUGUUUGCCUGCCUCGUCAGUCCUUGGUCCUUGUGAACCGCGCGUGCGCGUGCAAAGAGAAACUGCAGUUAGGUGCUGGGGAGGAGGCAGCUGCUGUGCCCAUCAGCAAACCGCCUGCCCAGCUCAUGGCUCUGCUGAGAUGCGCACUGCCAUGGGCAGGUUCAAGGCUCCCUUCCCUGCUCACCACCCCGUUCCCCACCCCGCAGAACAAUCUAGGCCUCCUUUCCUACCUUACCACUUUGCUUUUUACCCCAACCCCACCCCUGCCCACCUGCCUUGCCCUCUUCAGAACUUGUUUCUCGUCUUUUAUACAAUGGUUAGAAAACUCUUGCUUCCGACCUUGAGGGUCACUCUUGUAAACCCCUCUGUGCAAGUGGCCUCUUUCCUAGCAACUGUGGCGGGCUGAUGAAGAAUUUGUCCACACGAGUAUAAAUGUUUGGCACUGGAGAGGUUGUGAAGUGGGGUUUGUUAAUGGAGCAGAGAGCAGGCAGCGGAAGGCUGUGCUCACACCCUCCUGGCCUCCACCCAACCCGGGAGCUCCUGAGAUGGUGCCGCCUGCCUGAUCUUUACCCUCAGAUAUCCACAUGACAGGUGGGAUGGGCCGCAGGUGUUGAUGGCAGCAGUUGGUGAUUAUCGCUAAUCAGCUUGCAUCCUUGUGCAGAGAUCUGAAUUCAGCUUUUCCCCUGGACUCCCAGGGGCACUGGAUGAUACAGUGAAACUCAGUGGGCUUGUGGCAGUUAGUAGAAAAUGGUGAUCUGAUGCAAAUUAAAAGGAGUGGGACAUAAGAAUAGCAGAAGUAAGUAUCUAUUGAGGCUCCUCUGUGUGCCCAGGUUGUACACACUGAGAACUGCAAAAAUGGCCUGUGUUACGAAAAGGGAGCCGGACAAUCACUGACCCCCACUCCACCCUGUUGGCUGCCCUGGGUUUGUCUUAAGUGACAGUGGCCAUUAAGGGACUCCUAGGAUCUUUUAUGAAGUGCCGGGGCUAACCUCUGUGUGCUGGAGGAAAUGGUAACCCUUGGCCUUGCAGAGUACUUGUUGUGUGAUGCUGAUACUAAAUGAAAUGCCAAAAUAGGCUUACAGGUGUUUGUGGUAUGUUAUAAAUUUUCGUAUUUAAAACACAAAAAUAUACUGAUACAGUCUGGAAAUGGUAAAAUGAACAUGGCAAAAUAACCCCAAAUAAGAAAGAUGUGAAGCUGUGUGUCCCCAGGAGUGUGGCCGUGACUCUCCUCUGAGUGGGAUGGCCCUCCACCACCUUCCAGCCUGCCACAGGCCUUCACUCUCCAGGCCCCUCAGCUCUGCACCGCCUUCCCUCGCUUUUAAAUAACUCUUGAAUUCUCAUAUGUAUAAAGGGUUUAUUGUGAAGUUUACAAAUAAGACAAUUGAAAAAACGAAGUCCUCAAUAAUCUUCUAACAAAUUAUUAUUGGCAUAUUUGCUUCUAGAGUUACUUCCUAUGCAUAGGACUAUGCAUUCUUAUACAAAAAUGGGAUUAUACUGUAAAUUCUGUUUUGCAAGUCUUUUCAUUUAAUAUAUAGUGAACAUCUUUUCCUGUCAUUUGAAGCGUCUUUUUUAGUGGUGACAUAUUGUUCCAUUGUAUGACUGUCUCCAUUUGAACAUUCUCAUUUAGGUGACAUGUAAGUUAUUUUCCAGUGGCUUUUUUGUCUUAGGAAGUAAUGCUGUGAUGACCUUCGCUGUGCCUCAAACUUGAUCACGUCUGUUUUUUCUGUGGGAGACAGGAAAACUAGGUUCCCAUUGCUAACUCGCCUUCAGGAGAGGGGUUUCUAAAUUAGCAUUCUCUCUAGUGAGGUGAACUUGCCUUCCCUUUUCCUUAGAAGCUAGGGUAUAAUCAUAUUAAAAACCUUUGCUCCUUGGGUGGAUCCAGGCUGCUUUAACUGUGGAUCUGAGCACUGCUCCUCUGCUGGUGAGAUGGAACAUCCCCUACGUGUUGGGCCAUUUGCACUUCUGGGUGUGCAUGUGUGUGAGUUUCUGCUGUUUAAUUGCUCAUUUUUCUAUCGGUUCUUUUGUAAAAGCAGUUACACAUGAAGGAAACUGAUAAUGCUUGGUUAUGUUUGGUGCAAAUAUUUUCCCCAGUUGUAGAUUGCCUUUUUGUUUUGUUUAUUGUGUUUCAGACACACAAAAGUAUGCAGUUUUGCUGAGGUGGUCACUCUGGUUUCUGCACUUGCCGUUAGCUUAGCUCUCUCCUACCCCAAGAGUAUGUAACUAUUAAUCUGUGUUUUCUGUGACACUCGCAUGGUUUCAUUUUUUACAUUUAAACAUCUCAUCCAGCUGGAGUUUCUUGUGGUCUGCCUGUGUGUGCGUGGCAGGUCUGAUGCCCUCUCAGAGCCCCAGAGCUCUCUCGCUCCCAGUGCCCGCCUCCCUGUGGCCAGAUGGUGGCACAGAGUGGCAAGAGAGCCCCGUCAGCCUGAGGGUUGUCACAAUGGGACAGUUCACUGGAGAAGACCUCGGGGGCAGGCAGGAUGGUCUCCUCAGGGGAUCCUGGUGAUUGCUCCUCUGCAACUUGCCAUUCCCCCAUCUUAACUGGUUUGGACCUGUGGUAACCAGAGUGGGUGGGUGGGUCAAAAGCAGGUGCAAAUGCACUGGUCUGGGUCCUAUUCCUAACUUGGCCACUUAGCAGCUUUAUGACUAAGGAGCAAGUCACUGAAGCUCGCCGAGCCUGUUUUCCGUGUCUGUGAAAUGAGGGUCAAUGAAGGUAGUACGUGUGUGGCACACGGCUGUUCUUCACCCAGUGCUUCCAGUGACCCCUUCCUCUCCUGUGUUGCGCCCCCUCAGAUCUAGCCACUUUCUCCUGGCUCCCUCUCUCCGUCCUCUAGCUGCCUGCCCUGCUCUGGGCCUUUCUUUUUGUAGCGGUGAUCACCGUGCAUAUUCUGGUCUGUUCCGGUUCUCUGUUUAAUUUUGCUACUGUUCACAUUUCCCUGUAUCAGCCGAGUCUACCAACACGCUGGAAGUGGCUUUUUCUCAGCAUUGUUAAUUCUCCCACAAGAAUUCCAUGGAUGGGCUUCUAGAGGUCUGUGGUGCUCUGAACUUGUAUAUUUUUCUGUGGAAAGCAGAAGCUUGCUGAAGGAUCCGUGCCCCUAAAAAAGGAUCAUGAAUGAACAAUCGUGUUAUUUUCUCCCAUUGUGCUUAUGCUGUGGGAUGUUUAGUCAGCCUCUCAGGUUGUAAACAGUGUGUGUUGGCUAACUUCGCUUGUGCCGCUGUGAGCAUCUCUAAUUUGAUGUGCUUGCACACUCCCCAGAGUGGCACUGCCUGGUCGGUGAGCGUGCACAGACUUAGAACUCCUGUCACCGCUCAUAUACUCUCCAGAAAGCUUACACCUCCUCGUGUGAGUAUCUUCAUUUCCCUGCAUAGUUGCUACCAUCAGGUUUUUUCUAUUUUAUUUACUCAUUGCUACUUCCUAAAAAAUUUGUGGUAAAUUACACGUAACAUCAAUUUUACCAUCUUAACCAUUUUCAAGUUUACAAUUCAGUAGCGUCAAGUAUAUUCAUAUUGUUGUGAAUAUAACCAAUCUCCAGAACUUGUGCAUCUUACCAAACUGAAACUGCAUCCAUUAAACUACCCAUUUCCUUCUCCGCCGACUCCCUGGCAACCCCCUUCUACUUUUCUGUUUCUAUGAGUUUGACUACACCAGGUACCUCAUACCAAGUGGAAUCAUACAGCAUUUGCCUUUUUGUCACUGUCUUAUUUUCCAUAGCCUAAUGGCCCUUAGGUUCAUUGAUGUUGUAGCAUGUGUCAAAUUUUUUUUCCUUUUUGAAAGAGCUGAAUAAGAUUCCGUUGUAUGCAUAUACCACAUUUUGUUUAUCCCUUCAUCCAUCUGUGAACACUUGGGUUGCUUGCACUUUUUGGUUAUCGUAAAUAAUGCUCUUAUGAACAUAGCUGUACAAAUCCCUUUUUAAGACUCUGCUUUCAGUUCUUUUGGGUCUAUACCCAGAAAUGGUAUUGCUGGAUCAUAUGGUAUUUGUCUUUUUAACUUUUUUGGGAAUCACCAUGCUGUUUUCCAUAGCCGCGGCACCAUUUUACAUUCCCGUCAACAGUUUACAAGGGUUCCGGUUCUCCACAUCCUCACCAACGCUUGUUACUCUGUUAUUUUUUUAUGGCAGCCUUCCUGAUGGGUGUGAGGUGAUAUUUCAUUGUGGUUUUGAUUUGCAUUUCUCCAAUGAUUAGUGAUGUUGAGUGCCUUUUCAUAGGCUUGUUUUAUGUAUCAUCUUUGGAGAAAUAUCUUUUCAAGUCCUUUGCCCAUCUUUAAAAAUAAGUUAUUUUUUAUUGAUUUGUAAGAGUUCUUUAUAUAUUCUGGAUAUUAACCCCUUAUCAGAAAUGUGAUUUACCAACAUUCUCUCCCAUGCUGUAAGUUGCCUUUUCACUGUUGGUUGUGUCCUUUGAUGCACGGAAGUUUCUCAUUUUGAUGUAGUCCAGUUUAUCUAUUUUUACUUUUGUUUCCUGUGCUUUUGGUGUCAUGUGCAAGAAAUCAUUGCCAAAUCCAACGUUAUGAAGUAUUUGUCGCUACUUUCAAAGGUACUUUGGUAGUCAGUCUGUAUUUGUGUAAUUACAGGCUAGUCUGACUUUUACCACAUGAUUUAUCAUCUGCAUUUAUCCACUUUGACCACUUAGCAUUUGAAAUUUCCGUAUUGAUUUUUGUACUGAUCAUGAAUUCUUUGUAGUCGGGAAGGUAAGCUUUUGCCAAUUGUGAUUGUCAAACUUAUUCUCAUUUUUCCUUUUAUUAUUGAAGCAGAAAGUGUCUACUAUACAAGGACUUUUAAGAAAUUAGUCUGUUAAAGUCUAAUAAUGACUAAUAAGUCUGUUGGGUUUGUUUCUGACUACUUUUUCUUUAGUAGCCACACAUGGAUGUGCUCCCAGAGUUACAGUAAAUACUUUUCUCCAUUUAAGGAGUUAUGAAUCCAACCUAGGAAUGGGUCUAAAUUAAUUAUUUACACGGAUAAAGUUGAAAUAUCAAACUUUUAUUGAGUAAACACUGUCUUUGCUAUUUUACUCUAGGUCUGUCAAUAUUAGCUUCUUAGAAUUAUCUGCCUGCAUCUGUUUCUAGAAUUUUUAGUCUCUAGUUUUUAUCGUUUCUAAUCAAAUACAAUGAAUUUUAGUGACUGUCACUUAAUUAAUGCUUUAAAAUCCAUAAGUCGAAGCUGUGAUGCCCCUCAAGGUAAGACGUUCUCUCUCCUUGUCGGAACUUGAGUACACAGAACUGGCUUAAUCUUGGCUUCAUGACAUAACGUGGCUGUCUUUUAUUGACUUCCUUGAUGUUUUUCAUAAUGUGGUAAGCAUUUCUGAAUCUUCUAUUCAGUAUAAAAACUGGGACCUUAGACAGUAGCUUCCUCCACCUGUGUGGUCGCCUCCCGCCACCCCAGGCCAAGGUGAUCGUCAUCCUGAAUACUGGCUUUAUCUUUUACUUGGUUUCUUCAUAUAACUUAAAAAAAAGAAUUCUUACCUAAAUGUGGUUUUUAAAAUAUGUAUUUUCAUUUUAGUUAUUUCUAACUUUAUACAACACAUAUUAUGUUGUACGUAAUCUUCUGGAAUUUUUCUCAUUUGAUAUGGCAUUAAGGUUCAUCUCCUGCCUGGUGUGUAUUUCCUUUAGUUGCUUGCUGGGGAGAGGCCAUCGUGUGACUCUGCCCCAGUUAGUUCAUCGAUUUUCCCAUCGCUUCUCUUCUUCUAAGUGCAAUUAUAUAAGUGAUUGGGGCUGCUUGCUUCUUACACAGAAUUAAAACUUGAGCAACAAAGUUGGCACUGCCUAUCCUGUCCCUCCACCCCCAGUGGUGCCCAGUGUUACCCCUUUGCUGUGUUUCCUGCCAGACCUUUUUCUGUUCAUUUAUUUCCACAUCUAAAAGAGAGAUUGUUUUCUUUUCUUUUUCUUUUCUAUAUAAGUGGGGAAAAUACCACUGUAAAACUGUGUGUCAUUGUUGACUUGCUUUUUCAGUUAACAGUGUGAGACUCAUAUGAGUACAGACGGAACUGCCAUCAUUCCGUUAAUCACCUGCGUGCUGCUCCUUAACGCGGAUGUGCUGUGAGGGAUUUAGCUGUUCUGAAAUUGAUGGACUUUUAGACUGUUUCCAAUCUUUGUGAAGUGGCAACAAUACUGUGUGAUCAUCACAAACACCCCCUUGUGCCCACGCCUGAGUGGUUCUCAGAGUAGAUACCAAGGAGUAGAAUUGCUGGGUCCUGGGACGUGAAUCAGACCUGUUGCUAUAUUCUGCCCUUUUGUCUCCCCGAGUGGGUGUACAAAUUUGCCUACCUGAGGGUAAGAGUAUCUGCUUGUCCAUAUCCUUUUCGACACUCUACACAGCAAACUUUUCCAUUUCUGUCAGUUCCCUUGUUUGAUCUGUCCGUGUGUUCACAGUGACCUACCGAGACUUUAAUUGGUUCAGUGGAUUCUUGGCAUCUGUGGGUUUAACACCUGUGGGUGUAAAGCUGAUGGGAGCCACAGGUUCCUGGACACAUUAUCAUGUUCCUGAGGUGUAAUUUUUUAUAUUACUCAUGUCUUGAGGCUGCUGAGGAUGCCCAGCCUAAACUCUGCAUCCGUGUCACACUGUGGCUUUCUUCUCUGCUUAUCUCUGCAUUGCAGCAAGUCCUCUGAGGGACCAAAAUUUUGCAAAUUUAGGUAAGGCCAUGACUAAUGUUGCUAUAUUAUAUACUGUUGUAUGGCUGGGGCUAUGGAGUGUAUAGUAGUGGCAGAAUUUAUUUUAAUCUCUUUAUAAAUUACUGGUCUUGUAUUGAAAAUUCAAACACUACAGAAAAACAGUAGAAAAAAAUUCCUCUAUGAUUCCUCUCCCAAGGUAACGACUAAUAACAAUUUAUUUUCCUUCCGUGGACAUACUAAUAUUUAUCCUAUUACUAUCUCCUUUAAAAUGGAAUCAUACAAUAUGUACUGUUCUGCAACUAUUUAUUAUUUUCAUGGCUCCGUAAUAUUUAAUCUUGUGCAUGUUGCUAUAGUUCUUUUAACCAUUUUCCUACUGAUGGGGUUUUAGGUUAUUUCUGGGGUUUUCUGACCAUUGCCAACAGUGCUGCCGUGAGCAUCUUAAAAUGCCUCUGUGCAGAUGCUCAUGCGUGCCCUGGGCUCAUGAGGCCUGGAGGAGGAGUGAGGCCUGUUUUCACAAGCUCCAGGGUUCGCACCCGCUCUGGCACAGCCCAUCAGCGCUCCCUCCCUCGUGCUGUCUGGGUCUGAGGUGCUUGGUCUUCUGAGGUGAGUUGAGAGUUUCUGCUGCCAAAGUCGAUGACUGCCGGCAUUCUCCUAUCGUGCCGUGGAAUUCAGGUAAAACUGUUCAGUUGCUAAAACUGCUCGUCUGUACAAGAAUUUAGCAUAGGAUGGUGCCGGACUUAUUUUAGCACAAAACCAGAAUGGACCCAAUAAGCCUCAGAGUCCACUUCCUGGUGGUCUUUCCCCUAAGCAGCUUGAAAAACAAAUUGUUCUAGGAAAGCGGUUAAGGUAUUUGCAAAAAGUGUUGUUCAAUGACAGCUUGCUUGUUGGGGCUGUUGAAAUCUUCUCCCCUGGCAUCGUCUGCAGGCGUUUCUAGGCCUCAGUGGAACAGGAAGCCCCCUCCUGCCCUGCCACACAGCACAGCUUUGGCUGCUUUCUGGUUUACGUACAUGCUACCUCUCUCCUUUAAGAGGCCACCAAGUGCCAGGAACACGGUAUGGACCCCACUCUGGCUCUUACAGGGUCUCAGGGAGCUUUCUGUAGGGAACGGCAGGGCCCAGGAUCUGCCCCAGCGGCCUGGUUCUCUCCCCUCGCAGCCUCUGGGGCGAUCUGUGCACUGUCCCUCUUACUCUUCUGUCGAUGUGACAACUGUGUGACCCACCAACUGUGUGUCAAAGCAAGGCCCUGCCUCUGCCCCUGCUGACCCCAAGGGUAAAGGCUCUGCGAGUUUUCUUCCAAUUUAUUUAACUGAGGGGUGUGAAAUGUUCCAGGUGAUCCCUGCGCGUGGUGACAGUUCAAACCCUGUCAGAGAUACGGUGAGGUUUCUCUCUACUCCCCGCUUCCCUUCCCACAGAGGCAACUGUUGUGGCCAGUUGCUGGUUUCUUUCUAGAGAGUUCUGUGUCCAUAUUUCGCUACAGUGGUCCUGGUAUACUGCAUACCCUGGCUUGCACUUUGGGUUGUUCAGUUAACAGUAUGCCUAGGAGCUCACUGCGAUCUGUAUUUAUGGUCUGCAUUGGGUUUUUCAGUGCUGUAUGGCAGUCCAUGUUGAAUCAUCCAUUUCUCUUUCAGGGAACAAUUGGGUUGUUUCUAGCCAUUUUUAUUGUGUAUAAGGCUAUCCUGGGUACCUGUCUACAUGUGUUUUUAUGUAUAAGGGCAACUCUGACUGUGUGGGAAAGUUUCCUUUCAGGGGAAUUCUGGGUCCCAGUCCAUGUACCUUUCUAAAUAUGAGGGACGCCGCCAGCUUACACAUCCUUAGGGAAGUUGUUCCAAUUGACAUUCCCUACACCUUUACCGACAUUGUGUUCUUGAACUUGGUGAUUUAUAAAUAUGAGAAGUGCAAAUAGCAUUUCAUGGUUGUUUUGAUGUGUAUUUCUACUGGGCUGUGUACUUACUGAGUUUUGAGCUCUUUAUAUAUUAAAGAAAUUAACCCUUUGUCAUUUGUGUUGAAAAUACUUCCCCAUUUGUCAUUUGAUCUUUUAAAUUUUAUGCUAAAAACUUGCUGUUUAGAAUUUUAAAUAUAUACAUACUCAUUUAUCAGUGUUUCCUUUUAUAGCUUUUGGAUUUUAUGAGUAGUUUAGAAAGGCUAAUCCAGCUCAAGAUUAUUUUUUUUUGUUAAACUCCAUGUUUUGUCCCAGUUCUUUUAAGAUUUUAUUUUUAUUUUCUAUUUGACUCUUGGAUCUAUCUGGACUUUGGUGUAAUGAGUGUUUUAGGAAUAGUUAGCCA